UAUAAGACUGGGAUAACUUCGGGAAACCGGAGCUAAUACCGGAUAAUAUAUUGAACCGCAUGGUUCAAUAGUGAAAGACGGUUUUGCUGUCACUUAUAGAUGGAUCCGCGCUGCAUUAGCUAGUUGGUAAGGUAACGGCUUACCAAGGCAACGAUGCGUAGCCGACCUGAGAGGGUGAUCGGCCACACUGGAACUGAGACACGGUCCAGACUCCUACGGGAGGCAGCAGCC
rnacentral:rRNA from 1 species